rnacentral:rRNA from 1 species
GACGAACGCUGGCGGCGCGCUUAACACAUGCAAGUCGAGCGAAGCGGCGGACGGGUGAGUAACACGUGAGUAACCUGCCUUAGACAUUGGGAUAGCCUCGGGAAACCGGGAUUAAUACCAAAUGGUCUACGCUGGACUCGCGUCCCAUUAGCUAGUUGGUGGGGAACGGCCCACCACGGCGACGAUGAGUAGCCGGCCGGAGCGGGUGCACGGCCACAGAGGAACGGAGAUACGGCCGAGACUAUACGCGAGGCAGCAGUGGGGGAUAUUGCACAAUGGGCGAAAGACUGAUGCAGCGACGCCGAGGGGGGGAUGAGGGCUUUCGGGUUGUAAACCUCGUUCGCUAUGGCUCACUAUAGGGUGGGUUGAGGGUAAGUGGAGAAGAAGCGCCGGCUAACUACGUGCCAGCCGCCGCGGUAAUUC